rnacentral:rRNA from 1 species
UAUUUUAACAAAUCCUUUAAGCACAAAGAUUUGGUCCUGAUCUUAAAAUCAAUUUUUUCUCAACUUACACAUGCAAGUCUCCGCACACCCGUGAGAACGCCCUUUACCCCUAUUAGGAUCAAGGAGCUGAUAUCAGGCACAAAAUAUGCCCAAAACAUCUAGCUACGCCACACCCACAAGGGUAUUCAGCAGUGAUUAACAUUAAAAAUUAACGUCAGUUAGAUUUAGUCAGUGAAAAUAGAGCCGGCCAAUCUGGUGCCAGCCGCCGCGGUUAUACCAGAGGCUCAAAUUGAUUACAUUACGGCGUAAAGCGUGAUUAAAGAGAUAUUUACUUUAUGGGGAUGAACUUAAAUUCAGUUGUAAAACACUUGUUAUUAAAGAAACCCUGUUCGAAAGAUUCCCCAAUUAACCAACUUGAAUUCACGACAGCUAGAACACAAACUGGGAUUAGAUACCCCACUAUGUCUAGCCGUAAACUUUAACUUACACCGCAU